rnacentral:rRNA from 1 species
GCAAGUCGAGCGGUAGAGAGAAGCUUGCUUCUCUUGAGAGCGGCGGACGGGUGAGUAAUGCCUAGGAAUCUGCCUGGUAGUGGGGGAUAACGUUCGGAAACGGACGCUAAUACCGCAUACGUCCUACGGGAGAAAGCAGGGGACCUUCGGGCCUUGCGCUAUCAGAUGAGCCUAGGUCGGAUUAGCUAGUUGGUGGGGUAAUGGCUCACCAAGGCGACGAUCCGUAACUGGUCUGAGAGGAUGAUCAGUCACACUGGAACUGAGACACGGUCCAGACUCCUACGGGAGGCAGCAGUGGGGAAUAUUGGACAAUGGGCGAAAGCCUGAUCCAGCCAUGCCGCGUGUGUGAAGAAGGUCUUCGGAUUGUAAAGCACUUUAAGUUGGGAGGAAGGGCAGUAAAUUAAUACUUUGCUGUUUUGACGUUACCGACAGAGUAAGCACCGGCUAACUCUGUGCCAGCAGCCGCGGUAAUACAGAGGGUGCAAGCGUUAAUCGGAAUUACUGGGCGUAAAGCGCGCGUAGGUGGUUAGUUAAGUUGGAUGUGAAAUCCCCGGGCUCAACCUGGGAACUGCAUUCAAAACUGACUGACUAGAGUAUG